GACGAACGCUGGCGGCGUGCUUAACACAUGCAAGUCGAGCGGUAAGGCCCUUUCGGGGGUACACGAGCGGCGAACGGGUGAGUAACACGUGGGUGACCUGCCCUCAGCUCUGGGAUAAGCCUGGGGAAACUGGGUCUAAUACUGGAUAUGACUCCACGGUGCAUGUCGUGGGGUGGAAAGCCUUGCGCGGCUGAGGAUGGGCCCGCGGCCUAUCAGCUUGUUGGUGGGGUGANGGCCACCAAGGCGACGACGGGUAGCCGGCCUGAGAGGGCGACCGGCCACACUGGGACUGAGACACGGCCCAGACUCCUACGGGAGGCAGCAGUGGGGAAUCUUGCGCAAUGGGCGAAAGCCUGACGCAGCGACGCCGCGUGAGGGAUGACGGCCU
rnacentral:rRNA from 1 species